rnacentral:rRNA from 1 species
AACGAACGCUGGCGGCAUGCCUAACACAUGCAAGUCGAACGAGACCUUCGGGUCUAGUGGCGCACGGGUGCGUAACGCGUGGGAACCUGCCCUUAGGUUCGGAAUAACUCCCCGAAAGGGGUGCUAAUACCGGAUAAUGUCUUCGGACCAAAGAUUUAUCGCCUUUGGAUGGGCCCGCGUUGGAUUAGCUAGUUGGUAGGGUAAAAGCCUCCCAAGGCGACGAUCCAUAGCUGGUCUGAGAGGAUGAUCAGCCACACUGGGACUGAGACACGGCCCAGACUCUUACGGGAGGCAGCAGUGGGGAAUAGUGGGCAAUGGGCGAACGCCUGAUCCAGCAAUGCCGCGUGAGUAAUGAAGGCCUUAGGGUUGUAAAGCUCUUUUACCCGGGAUGAUAAUGACAGUACCGGGAGAAUAAGCUCCGGCUAACUCCGUG